UACGUAGGGUGCAAGCGUUGUCCGGAAUUAUUGGGCGUAAAGAGCUCGUAGGCGGUCUGUCGCGUCGGCUGUGAAAACCUGGGGCUCAACUCCGGGCCUGCAGCCGAUACGGGCAGACUAGAAUUCGGUAGGGGAGACUGGAAUUCCUGGUGUAGCGGUGAAAUGCGCAGAUAUCAGGAGGAACACCGGUGGCGAAGGCGGCUCGUUUGGUCUGUAACUGACGCUGAGGCGCGAAAGCGUGGGGAGCGAACAGGAAUUAGAUUACCCGUG
rnacentral:rRNA from 1 species